rnacentral:rRNA from 1 species
GACGAACGCUGGCGGCGUGCCUAAUACAUGCAAGUCGAACGCAGUGGGGACGGGUGAGUAACACGUGGGUAACCUCCCAUCAGAGGGGAUAACACUUGGAAACAGGUGCUAAACCGAUACUGAUGGAUGGACCCGCGGUGCAUUAGCUAGUUGGUGAGGUAACGGCUCACCAAGGCCACGAUGCAUAGGCGGCCUGGGGAGGUGGACCGCCCCACCUGGACUGGGACACGGCCCAGACUCCUACGGGAGGCAGCAGUAGGGAAUCUUCGGCAAUGGGGUGAACCCUGACCAAGCAACGCCGCGUGAGUGAAGAAGGGUUUCGGGUCGUAAAGCUCUGUUGUUAAGGAAGCGGUACUUAACCAGAAAGGGACGGCUAACUACGUGCCAGCAGCCGCGGUAAUAC